CGGAAAGAAAGGGAUUCGAAC
rnacentral:tRNA from 1 species